CACGUGAGUGACCUGCCCUGGAGUGGGGAAUAACUCUGCGAAAGCAGAGCUAAUACCGCAUUCGCUUACCUCUUCAGUGGGGUAAGUAAAGCUCCAUGCGCUUCAGGAGGGGCUUGCGGCCGAUUAGCUAGUCGGUGGGGUAAUGGCCUACCGAGGCAACGAUCGGUAGCUGGUCUGAGAGGAUGACCAGCCACACUGGGACUGAGACACGGCCCAG
rnacentral:rRNA from 1 species